AACAAACGCUGGCGGCGUGCCUAAUACAUGCAAGUCGAACGCAGUAGCAAUACUGAGUGGCGCACGGGUGAGUAACACGUGGAUAAUCUCCCUCCGAGUGGGGAAUAACCUUUCGAAAGAAGGGCUAAUACCGCAUAAGACCACAGGAACUUUGGUUCUAGGGGUCAAAGGGGCGUAAGCUCUCGCUUGGAGAUGAGUCCGCGCCCGAUUAGCUAGUUGGUGAGGUAACGGCUCACCAAGGCAUUUAUCGGUAGCUGGUCUGAGAGGAUGACCAGUCACACUGGAACUGAGACACGGUCCAGACUCCUACGGGAGGCAGCAGUAGGAAUAUUGCGCAAUGGGCGAAAGCCUGACGCAGCGACGCCGCGUGAGUGAU
rnacentral:rRNA from 1 species